rnacentral:rRNA from 1 species
UACGGAGGGUGCAAGCGUUGUCCGGAUUUAUUGGGUUUAAAGGGUGCGUAGGUGGCGCGUUAAGUCCGGGGUGAAAGCCCACAGCUCAACUGUGGAACUGCCCUGGAUACUGGCGAGCUUGAGUCCAGACGAGGUUGGCGGAAUGGAUGCUGUAGCGGUGAAAUGCAUAGAUAGCAUCCAGAACCCCGAUUGCGUAGGCAGCUGACUAGGCUGGUACUGACACUGAGGCACGAAAGCGUGGGGAGCGAACAGG